AGUCGAACGGCAGCACGGGAGCAAUCCUGGUGGCGAGUGGCGAACGGGUGAGUAAUACAUCGGAACGUGCCCAAUCGUGGGGGAUAACGCAGCGAAAGCUGUGCUAAUACCGCAUGAGAUCUACGGAUGAAAGCAGGGGACCGCAAGGCCUUGCGCGAAUGGAGCGGCCGAUGGCAGAUUAGGUAGUUGGUGAGGUAAAGGCUCACCAAGCCUGCGAUCUGUAGCUGGUCUGAGAGGACGACCAGCCACACUGGGACUGAGACACGGCCCAGACUCCUACGGGAGGCAGCAGUGGGGAGUUUUGGACAAUGGGCGCAAGCCUGAUCCAGCCAUGCCGCGUGCAGGAUGAAGGCCUUCGGGUUGUAAACUGCUUUUGUACGGAACGAAAAGGCUUUCUCUAAUAAAGAGGGCUCAUGACGGUACCGUAAGAAUAAGCACCGGCUAACUACGUGCCAGCAGCCGCGGUAAUACGUAGGGUGCAAGCGUUAAUCGGAAUUACUGGGCGUAAGGCGUGCGCAGGCGGUGAUGUAAGACAGUUGUGAAAUCCCCGGGCUCAACCUGGGAACUGCAUCUGUGACUGCAUCGCUGGAGUGCGGCAGAGGGGGAUGGAAUUCCGCGUGUAGCAGUGAAAUGCGUAGAUAUGCGGAGGAACACCGAUGGCGAAGGCAAUCCCCUGGGCCUGCACUGACGCUCAUGCACGAAAGCGUGGGGAGCAAACAGGAUUAGAUACCCUGGUAGUCCACGCCCUAAACGAUGUCAACUGGUUGUUGGGUCUUCACUGACUCAGUAACGAAGCUAACGCGUGAAG
rnacentral:rRNA from 1 species